AGCGAACGCUGGCGGCAGGCCUAACACAUGCAAGUCGAACGAACCUUUCGGGGUUAGUGGCGGACGGGUGAGUAACACGUGGGAACGUGCCUUUAGGUUCGGAAUAACUCAGGGAAACUUGUGCUAAUACCGAAUGUGCCCUUCGGGGGAAAGAUUAAUAGUCUUUAGAGCGGACAGGGUAUGAUUAGCUAGUUGGUGUAGGUAAUGGCUCACCAAGGUGACGAUAAGUAGCUGGUCUGAGAGGAUGAGCAGCCACAUUGGGACUGAGACACGGCCCAAACUCCUCCAUACACGCCCAUUACACAAUCUUUCCACAUCAAGGAAAGCCUGACGAACCCAUGCCGCGUGAAUGAUGAAGGUCUUAGGAUUAUAAAAUUCUUUCACCCCUGACUAUAAUAACUUUCCCCCAAAAACAACCCCCGGCUAACUUCUUG
rnacentral:rRNA from 1 species